rnacentral:lncRNA from 1 species
GCGCAUGUCCAGCCGCCAGGGAGAUUAGGCGUUUGUAACCAGACUUCUUUAGGGGAUCCAGGACUAAGCCGAGGAAGGUGUUUCUGAACCUCAGGGAAUCUGUGGCCACUGGCAAGCCAGCGGAAAAUUCAGGUAUUUUUCCCUCUCCACCCUGGUCUUCUCCUGUAACGUGUGGCCGCCUUUUCCAGCACGGCCUCCUGCCUUCCUGGUGCACUUUUUGGAGAACGUGGUGGAAUCAGAGGUUUCUGGCUGACUCGGUGG